GGAGGGGUGGUCGAGCGGUUGAUGGCUCCGGUCUUGAAAACCGGCAGGGCGAAAGUCCUCGUGGGUUCGAAUCCCACCCCCUCCG
rnacentral:tRNA from 1 species